GAAACAAAAAAGCUUAAGCUAUGGGAUGUCUGCAUUCUCUAAGAGAAGAGAGGCUGGUCUGCUGCAGAAACCAAUAACCAGAAGUUAAACCACAAGAGUUCAAAGGGCUUGGUCCACCUCCUGUGGAAGCUAAUAGGAGUUUUCUACUACUCAGAAACCAAAUGGGAUCUGACCCACAGCAGCUGGAUGGCUGCGAGGGACAGAGGAGCCUGACUGAGGCUGAAUCACGGCUCCAAAUAUCUUUGAGAAGGAAGAUAGUCUCUUUCCAAGUCUGGGGCGGUUUCCAUUUUGUCUUCCAGCUUGAGGAUAGCGUUUAGUAGAGUGGACAUUGCUGACUUCGGGCUUUGAUCACUCUAUAAGGGAGGGCUGUCUGGUGGUUGCAGAAAAGGCACUGGUUUCAAAACUCCUGGGUUUUUUUUCCCCCAGCUCUGCUAUUGACUUUCUCUCUGACCUUGGGCACAUCAAUUCUUCCACUGAAAGAACUCUGACAUCUCCUGGAUUUGCUCUGACUAUCUGGCCAAAUUUCAAAACCCACUGGGAAAUGGGAUUUUUAUGCUCCUCAGAACCUGUGAGGGCAUGAAGGCUCUGCGAGACUUCCCCAAAUGUCACACAGGGCUGCUAUCCUGAGGAACUAUUCUGCUAAAGUGAAAAUAUCAUAUCACAGAGACACAAGGCCUUGGGAAGAAGGUGAAAGGCAUGAUCUGAAGACAUCCAGUUAUACGUAGUUGUGCUGACUGGACACCGAUUUACAUAAAACUGCAGGUAUUUAAGCAUUGGAGCAGGCUACCUUCAAUGGUUGCAGAGUCUCUUUCAUGGGAAUAUUUAAAAUUAUGUACAACAUUUGUAGGAAAGGCAUAAGUAAAGCCGACCCUGCAUUAAGCAGGCUAAGGGAUAGCUGAACACCUGAGGUCUCCUUCAGCCCUGCAGGCUGAUGCCGUCAUUUGCUUGGGCAACGAGGUGCUGAAUCCAGGGUGUCCCCUGGGAGCAGAGGGACUACAGCAAGGAGAAAAGCAGGAAAAGAGGGAAAACGGAGCUUUAAAAGGGCACAUAUGAGCAAGAGAGAAUGAAAGAGAAGCAGAAGGGGAGCUGGCUGGAAUCACAAGGCACAUCAGCCAAGGGAGGAAGCAGGAGAUAACUCAGAGGGGUCCAAACACAACAAAUCCUCAAAGCAAAACUAAACUUGGCAGAAACAUUUACCCACAAUGACCCUUGUGCAUUGGAUGUAUAAUAAUUUUUAAAAGAAACCAACUACUAAGAGUUAUGCUUCUCAUGAUGAAAGUUUCUUCUCAUGUUCUUUGCCUUCCACCCAAGCUACAACAUCCCAGUUCUCACUCAUAUGCCAAGUGUAGUUUUAAUUUGGGCCCCCUUCUGUGUUCGUUUUCUCUCUUAUUCCAGCAGCACAACUGCCCCAACCAUUCACCUGGCAGGAUCAAACCAGGGCUGUGACUGUGUCCCUUAGAUGAGAGAUCUCCCAGGCAGAACACAGGGGUGCUCACCACAGCGAGUGGCUGAUCCAGCAGAGUUCAGUGGAGUUGGACAAGGACCAAGCUGCAAAUUUUGCCUCAUCUUUUGUGAUGCCAGCCGCCAAACAUCUUAAUAGCAAGCAGCCCACUUUAUCCUCUAUUGCAAGGGAUGCAAAACGUUGCCUGAGAGAUGUGGCAUGAGGUGGAAAAGGUGCAGCUCCAGUCCUCCUGUCCCAGUAUCUCUCCAUUUGUUCAUACAACCUUAGUAAUGUUGUAUCAAACAUUGCACACAAGUGCUGUGGCCAGAGACGUGUGACAAGGGUCUCACUGCAGUGUAAAGGUCUCUGGGCACGUACCAACUGUUUUUAGCUAGCUGAAAUGUAUCCUGCGGUUGCACAGUGGAAUUUUCUAAUGCCUAUGUAGAGCCAGCACUAUAGUCAGCAGGCCAGCACGCCUGCGUUACCACUGCCCUCUCACCUCAGACAGAACAUCUCAGUGGCCUGUGAGCCCCGUAACCUUUCUUACUGGGAUUCUCCUGGAGAUUAGACUAAAGGGAACAGGGUGAUCUGAGCUCUAUCUCUGCUGACACCCUGAAUUCCCACUAUUUAUCAGCUUCUCUUUAAAAGGAUUUCAGAUUGCAUUUCCAUAUCUAGCAUAUGGAGACUUUCAUUUAUUUGACAGGUUGAUUCUUUUAUCAGACGUUUAUAAGGAUUUACAAUAUUAAUGCACUCCGCAUGCAGUACUGGAUUUUGCACAGAAAAAGUGCUAGCAAAGGGACAAACUGUCCUCAGAGCAGUUUUCCCUUGUCUUUCCCGUCCCACCUUUCCUAUGCUUUACGGAGGCAGGUCAGUACAAAAAAGCCUGUGAUAACACUAAUGCCCUUUCCAAGCAUUUUCUGCUGGGAUGAGUGAUGAUGGACGCAGGCUCCUUAAAAGAGCUGAGUACCUGAGGCUCUUCUUUCCUUGUGGUUGUACUCAGAGGGAUGGGGAUACAGGCAGUGAGAAAGCCCCUGCCAGUAGGGUGAGCAGCGACAGGCAAAAGAAGAGGAGAAAGGCGCUGAACCCUGCAGGAGAUCUGCAGAGAGGAGACAGAUACUGGCUUUGCUUUAGACUGAGAAUUGCAAAAUAAAAUCCUCCAGGACAAAGCCUGCAGGGCAGAGAUUUCUCCUUUUUGACAGCCUACAGUGAAUGAAGCACAAAAUAGCCUGCUGUCUCCGCAGACAGCAAGGAUAUUUGGAGACGUCAAACUGUAGUACAGAGGAUGCACAAGAGGAAUGGAGACACAGCUAACUACUUCCCAGACUUUUGAUUUUUUGUUCCAAGCAGGAGAUCCUGAAAUCAUGCAAGUUUUUCUUGUGUUCCUGCUGGAAUGAAAAACAUAGCUUCUUCCUGCUUUGGGAUAGCAGAUGGAAAUAAAGCUUAUUUGGUCUUCAUUAUCUGCCCUCGUUUCAGAUUCAAAGGUGCUUGGAUUCAAAGUCUGCAUAUUUUCAGUCCUAGCAAAGGGCAAGGGAAUAGCAGUGGACACAGCCUAGCAUAAAAUCAGAUUUCCCACUUCCAAACCACAUGUAGAACCAGUUUCUCAGAUUCUUUCAGGGGUUUAUAAGGACAGGUUAUUUCUGCUGCAUAGCUGAUGAUUUGCCUAAUAUAGCUCCAAUCUCAUACUGAGA